GAAGAUUUUGGCACCGUGGUCCUCGGUGUCCAGAGUCACCCAGGUGGGCCGGAAGCUCCCUUUGAAGCCAACGAACGCCAUUUUCUCUGGAAAGCAGGGCCAGCGAGUCCCUGCGCCUCUCUGAAGCCCAGCGUCCCCUGUCAGUCAGCCACACGAGGGAUGACGCUCAGCUACAGGACCUCUCCCGGCUCCAACGUGCCGUGGCUUUGGAAGGACUCCGUCCAAGGGUUCAGAGAUGGCGUGGCAGCUGAGCUCUGGGUUAGAAGCGUUCGGAUCCAAAUUCUGAUCUUGGGCAAGUUACUUAAGCGUCUGGUUCCAUCCCAGACGGAAGCAACGGCACCGUGACCCGUGAACGCGCGGCAAUCGCGGCGAGCUCAGCAGGUGCACAGCCGGGCACCACGCGUGGACCCCAGCGGACGUUAGCGUCUGCGGGCUUGUUCCGCCUCCCUCCCAGCCUCCCCUGGGCUCCGUGGUGACGGUGACGAGGGUCAUGCUGGGCGGGCUUCCCUGUGGGGUCUGCGCUGGGCUUCACCGCAGAAGCACUGAGGGACCUCGGACAAGCCGCAGAGAUGCCUCGGGCUUUCGUUUCUCCGUCCCUCCCUACGUCCCUUACGGUGGGCGUAUGAGUGUCCAGCCCACCGGAACAUGGAGGACGAGGCAGAGCCCCGCCCGUCCCUGUAGCGGGAGCCGGGACGGGGGUAGAUCAAGCCACUUUGCUGCUGAUGCUUUGGUUUAACGAGAAGGGGAGGGGGCCCGUGCUGAGCGGACGGGCGAACAACUCAGGAAGUGGCUUCCCGUGUCUGCUCACACGUUGGGAGGAGGCUGCUGGCGUGUAGGGAUGGUGAACGGGCGGCAUCCGGCCCACACGUUCCAGAAGGCCACCUAGUGUUGAGGACCCUGGGGUCUGGUGGGGAGCACUGUGGUCUCGGCAAGAGGUAGCAGCAGCCCCCACACCAGGCAUCUGGACUUACAGUCAGUGUAGACCCCUGGUCUGGAUCGCUUACCUUUCAACCUGAGGCUCUUAUCUGCGCCGAGCUUUUCCAGCACUCUGGUCCACAGGCCCUUGGACGUGUAUCGUCCCUUCGACACCACGAGCACAAUGGAGCUGCAGGAGAGGACGUGUCAGAGGCCAGGAGGGGAGAGCAGGUAGGUGGGGGCAGUCAGCAGCGCCCAGAGGCCCGGCUGCGGGUUUGGGGAAAGGCCGCCUGUCCCUCGUGCCGAGCGGACCGGCUCUUCCCAUGCUUGACCCACAUCCCGGCCGCCCUCCCACACCUCUGGCCGCAGUUGGCACCCGGGGACCUCCCCACACCUGCUCUCAGCUCACUCGCUGCCUGCAUGCGUGUCUGUCCCCAGAGAGGACGGGGUAGGUGCACGGAGGAGGGACUUCGGCUUGCGUUUAUUGACGCGAAUGUCCUCAGCCCGUUGGGUUGGGACCAGAUAGAAACAUGGGGGGAGAGCAAGCCAGAAGCUGGGGUUACCGCGUGCUUGGGGAGUGUUAACCUCCACGUUCACGUCACUUUCUGCCCGGUUUGCACAUGGGAGAUUGGGGCAAAUUUACUAGGCCCAAGGGGAGUCGUGCUCGGAGGCGGGGUGCAGGGGCCUGGAGCGAGGCGUGCGCCCAGCCGAACGGGCCCCGACUUGCAGAAGCCCAGCUUGGGGGCCUGGCGAGACUCUCUGCUCCCGGCCUUGGUUGUGUUCAGGCCCACAUGUUGGGAACACAGCCUCAAGGUGGCAGACCCCGCGGGGCCGGGACGGACAGGCGAGGGGAGCACCUCCCCCCAGGAACAGCAGCCCAACGGGCUUCCGGCUCACAUCUCACAGGAAUCCCAUAACCACAGACCACAGUCCAGACGCGGAAAAACCAGACAGGGUUCUGGAAGUCGCGGUCACCCCCGUUUGUGUCCCUUCGGGAGCAGAAGGAACACCCUUCAGAUGCACCGGGCUCGUCAGCCCUAGGGACAGGGAGGGGAGCUGGGGCUGCCUGGGGACGAGGCCCCAGGAGACGGCAAGGUGAAGCCAGCAGAGAGAGGGAGCAUCGCACACUUGUUCUCAGCACUGGGCUCGGGCGCCAUUCCCAGGAGGCCAUUUCGUCAUCGUUCCAGUUCAGAGGAAAAGCUCACGUCCCUUUGGCACAGCUAAGCCUCGCCGCUCGGGGGAACCCAGACAAAGGUCGUGCCCUCUAGACUGGGCUCUGGGCUAGCUCCCAGGAGCGGGACGCAGAUGGGGCUCCUCGUGCGUCACAGCAUCCUGAUGGGGCCAGAAGCCUGCAUGCUCGGAGGUGUCCCUGUCUGCCCCGUAUGGGACUGUCACGGCCUGUGAACGCCUACACUCGUCAGCACGGGGUAUGGUGGCAGGGCAGAGGCCGUUCCGACAAGCCACCCGGACUUCCCACCGUGCCAGGUCGUGGCCCCUGAGAGCGAGUUCUACCCCUCGUUUAGCGAGAAACACAAAACCGAGUUAGACGUGGCCCCGACGUGAGGAAGUGCGGGUCCUCGCCCGGGAACGGCCGCAUCCCCGGGGCUGCUGAGACUCAUGUGUUAGUAGAGGCAGAACUUUGUGGUUGUGUUGGAAGAGACCUCACCAAAGAGGUGCGCGUUAGAUUGGGAGUUACCAGGGAUUUCUAGGAAAGGGCACAGGAGGUGCUGGGGGGAAUUCAAGCCAGCAGCUGGCAGGGAGGCCGGGUCAGGCUGGGGCGGCAGAGGCCUGGCCCGUCAGGAGGUUGAGCCGGAGGGCCUGCCUCGCAGCCAUAGACAAGCCCGGCCGGAGGGCGAGCGGGCAGGUGGGGGGCCGGGACCCGGUCACAGAGGAGGAAGGGACAGGGGGAGUCACGCAGGACGCCCAGACCGUGGUCAAGCCGUCUGCAGGGUUCAGGCCCAUGAACCGAAACACGGUGAACGGGAGGAGGGGCCGGGCUGGGAGGCGACGGCCAAGGGCGAGGUUGGGUUCCACGGGAGACUUGUAGCCUGUCAGACGUGGCGGUGCCGGGAGAGGUGUGGGCCAGAGAACUUAAGAGCCACCGGCACUUGGAUCGCAUCGCAAGUGUGGGCGGGGUGAGGUCAUGCUGGGAAAGCGUGUCGUGGCCGGGGAACGAGGCCAGGGCCAGGCUUCCCACUUGUAAGUGGGCAGCCCGGCCGCCUCGGCCUGACCUACAUUCUCCGCCCCGCACCCUUUAGGUCGUCAGAGGUGCAGGCAGACCUCGAACGCGCCCUCGGUGCCCCUAGACCGGACGCAAUGGGGUGGGGGGGACGUGCGCAGACUCACUUGUCGGGGAUGGCCGCCACGUGACUGAACAGCUGCCACGGGACGCCCUGCAGCAUGGUGCUGCUGAAGCUCGUGUGGCUCACCACGUGCCCGCGGCUGCCGUCGAUCGCCACCAUCUGGAUGCCGUCCUCGGAGCUGGGGAUGGCCAGAGAACAAGUUUCUUUUGUUGCAGGCAACCCUGGCCUGUGGUCAUCGGUGACAACAGCCCCAGGACAUAACACCGCCUCCCCCUGCGGCCAAGCAGCGCCCCUGCAGGGGCCAGAACCACUCACUUCAAUGUAAGCCACGUCGCUCAGGAGGUGAAAGAAACGCUGCCUGGAACUCUCCAUCUUCACCUCCAGGAAGCGGUCCUUUGUCUUCUGGAAAACAAGGCCUUGAUCCUGAUUCGCUCGCAGCCUCUCACGGAGCAGAAGGCAAACCUCUCCCUCUCGUUCUGGGCUCUCAGCUUCAGGAACAACAGCCUGCGUGCGGGGGCCACGGCCGGGCUCGCUCAGGCGUUCACCACCCUCCUCCCCCUCUGUCUUCACGUCACCUCCCAAGCCCUGCGGUGAGACCCACGGGCCUUACGAGAUGGCCACCAGGCUAUGUCUGCCACGGGGUCACGUGCGGUCCGAGAGAGAAACGAGCACCCGGGCGUCAAAGCUCGCGACGCCAACGGGGACCGUUUUCUGGGCACGUGCCCUAUGCCACGCUCCGCGCAGGCCGUGAGUGGACACGCCAUCUCGCUUAACCCUCAGAUGGUCCCGUCCGGUAGGUGCCGUCACUGCCCUGCUUUCUCGGACUCCGAGCAGCUGACUGACCCGGGACCACAUGGGAGGACGGUCACAGAGUCGGGCCACCCUGUCACUGUGCCUGAAACAACCUUCCCGGCUGACUCCCACGCCUGCAGCAUCCGAAAGGCUGUUCCCGUGCUGACCCCUCUCUGGGAACCGCCUGCGCCCAGACGGCCCGGCGAGCUGGGUUCGCGCCAUGAUGCCACGACCUCCACCCACCGCCGCACAGCCGGUUGUGCCAGGGAAGCACCUGGACGCGCAGAGGGGCCGAUCGAGACUUCAGAGGGGCCCCAGGGAGGGGACCAGACAGCUCCCUAUUCUCCACAGACACUCUAUCCCUGUUAUCCCUCCACUGAGCAGUGCCUAGUGCCGUCCAGCAAAGGCUUAGCAGCUUGGAAAAUGUCACUGGCGGAUGGAACCUGAGUUCGGCCCCUGAGUCGGAGCCCCUGGGAAAGCGUUCUCCGUCAAUGGCAGGUAACCCGGUGGGGGUUGGCCUGCUGGGAGGGCCAGGGGCAUGGCCCGGGGCCGAGCCGCCCUGCCGCGGCGGGGGUCCUCACCCUGAGUCCUCGUCCCAGUAGUA